GCAGGGAUCGAGCGGCACCCCCUCUCUUGAGGGCUACAAAACUUCUAAGCUUGUGGUCGCAGGUUCGAAUCCUGCCGGGCGCGCCA
rnacentral:tRNA from 2 species